rnacentral:lncRNA from 1 species
GCAGAAGUCAUAACCUGCCCUCCGGGAUGGACCAGGAAUAUCGUGACAAUGCACAGCCUGUCCCAUGAUUCACCUCUGGGUCCUCUGACCCACCUCUCCUGCUUCACACGUAUGGGGAAGAAAGCCCAGAGACAUAAGGGGAUAUGCCUGAGGUCACACAGCAGUCAGUAGAAGACAAGUGUGUCGAUGACCUUCCAGUUCAGUGGGAGCAGGACCAAAAGAAACAGAACUGAGCUGAACCCUAGCUCUGUCAUUCCGGGCCAAUUAUUUUCAGUCAGAGCCUUGGCUUCCCUUUCUGGAAUAUGGGGUUCGUCUCAAGCAAAUUCGUGGAUCUUGGAGUUCAUUUAAGUCUGGAAGUUUGCCACAUCAUGUUAAGCCGUCUCGGUGAAAAUAGAAUGAAUGGUCCCUGCCCACAGGAAAUGUGCUGCAGUCAAGGAGAUGGUACAAAUGCGUGGAAAAUUCCCAGGACUGGCUGUACGCAGAGGUGUUUCAUAAGCGGAGAGCCCGGAGGGAAGGAGGCUGUGAUGGGCUAAGUCUCCAAGAAGCUGUGGUCCAUUAGGGCCCCUGACCCUGGGCUCCCGGUGCCCGUCAGCGAGCCUCCCUGCCCACCCCCAGCAGGGGCCUCAAACUUCGUUUGACUGACUGCCAGGAAAUAAACAACGACAACCCCAGCUAGAUUAGCAAGGCAGCAUAUGCUGCUCCUGGGAAGUUAAACAAUUGCACUUCUAAAUAACAGCUCAACAUGGACUAGGA